rnacentral:rRNA from 1 species
UACGUAGGUGGCAAGCGUUGUCCGGAUUUACUGGGCGUAAAGAGCGCGCAGGCGGUCGUUCAAGUCGCGUGUGAAAGCCCCCGGCUCAACUGGGGAGGGUCACGCGAUACUGAUCGACUCGAAGGCAGGAGAGGGAAGUGGAAUUCCCGGUGUAGUGGUGAAAUGCGUAGAUAUCGGGAGGAACACCGAGUGGCGAAGGCGACUUCCUGGCCUGUUCUUGACGCUGAGGCGCGAAAGCUAGGGGAGCAAACGGG